rnacentral:rRNA from 1 species
UGAGAGCACGGCCCACCACAAUGGUACUGAUACACGGUCCAUACUCCUACGUGAGGCAGCAGCAGGGAAUAUUGCUCAAUGGACGGAAGUCUGAUGCAGCGACGCCGCGUGAGUGAUUAAUGCCUUCGAGUUGUAAAACUCUUUUGAGGGGGAAGAGCGAGGACGGUACCCCUGGAAUAAGCGUCGGCUAACUACGUGCCAGCAGCCGCGGUAAGACGUAGGACGCGAGCGUUAUCCGGAUUUACUGGGCGUAAAGCGUCUGUAGGCGGAUGUGUAAGUUGGGCGUGAAAGCUCCGGGCUUAACCCGGAGAGGCCGUUCAAUACUGCAUAACUUGAGGGUGUCAGAGGGGAGCGGAAUUCCCGGUGUAGCGGUAAAAUGCGCAGAGAUCGGGAGGAACACCAGUGGCGGAGGCGGUUCCCUGGGGCACACCUGACGCUGAGAGACGAAAGCUAGGGGAGCGAACAGGAUUAGAGACCCUGGUAGUCCUAGCCCUAAACGAUGAAUGCUAGGUGUGGGAUCGAAUGGUUCCGUGCCGGAGCGAACGCGAUAAGCAUUCCGCCUGGGGAGUACGGCCGCAAGGUUAAAACUCAAACGAAUUGACAGGGCCCCGCACAGGCAGCGGAGCGUGUGGUUUAAUUCGAUGCUACACGAAGAACCUUACCUGGGUUUGACAUGUAGGUGGUAGUGAAUCGAAAGGUGAACGACCCUUCGGGGAGCCUACACAGGUGCUGCAUGGCUGUCGUCAGCUCGUGCCGUGAGGUGUCGGGUUAAGUCCCGUAACGAGCGCAACCCUUGCUCCUAGUUACAAGUGUCUAGGGGGACUGCCGGCGGAAAGCCGGAGGAAGGUGGGGAUGACGUCAAGUCAGCAUGGCCCUUAUAUCCAGGGCUACACACACGCUACAAUGGUCGGUACAAAGGGCAGCGAAACCGCGAGGCGGAGCGAAUCCGAGAAAAGCCGAUCGUAGUUCGGAUAGCAGGCUGCAACCCGCCUGCUUGAAGCUGGAGUUGCUAGUAACCGCGCGUCAGCCAUAGCGCGGUGAAUACGUUC